UACGGAGGGUGCAAGCGUUGUCCGGAUUUAUUGGGUUUAAAGGGUGCGUAGGCGGCCCGUUAAGUCAGUGGUGAAAUCCCAGGGCUCAACCCUGGAACUGCCAUUGAUACUGACGGGCUUGAGUUCGGUUAAGGCGGGCGGAACUGGUGGUGUAGCGGUGAAAUGCAUAUAUACCACCAAGAACCCCGAUUGCGUAGGCAGCUCGCUGAGCCGAAACUGACGCUGAGGCACGAAAGCGUGGGGAGCGAACAGG
rnacentral:rRNA from 1 species